ensembl:lncRNA SH3BP5-AS1 SH3BP5 antisense RNA 1
CUUGGAAACAACCUCAGUGAUCAAUACUGACAGCACAACCACAGAGACCUGGUAAUGCAGCAUGGGGGCCCUGAGACCUGGCAGAGGUAUGGAAUGGCACAACAGUCAGGCUACAGAGGCAGUGUGGCAUCUGGGACGGGGUGAGAAGGCUGCUACUCACCUCGUUCUACUUCACAUUCAGGGGAGGAGGCCCCGCUGCAUUCACUUCGAGGGCCCAACACUGGGAACAUCAUCCCAAACUCUGACAGGGACACAGGGCUGGGCAGAUCCAGGCUGCCAGGCCUCACAACCGCAGGGAACUGGUCAGGCAUCUCAGACGGGCUUGUUGGUCCUGAACUAAAGCUGGACACGGACUGGGUUUCCGAGUCAUCUUCAGACACAAAGUUGCUACAGCUGUCAUCUUCAAAGGCCUCCGAGGCCACUAAGUUGAGAGAGAACACCAGUCACAUGGGUUCUGUCACCUCCUCAAACACCACAAGUGCUUGCUGCUGGCAGGCAGCUAGACACAGCAUGGGGGACUAAAGAGUCUCUACCUCUGUGAGUGCCUAAUGAAGGAAUGUGACUUCCCAAGCCUGAAUGACCAGCCUCUAAAGCAGCUGGAAGGGAAGCAGCUGGCAGCAGGAUCCCAUGGAUAUUAAGCGCCCUUCCAAUAACCUUAUAACCCUGCCAAGAAAUCAGUGUCACCAGACACCACCUAAAAAUGGAAGAUUAAUUCAGCCACAAAUUAGGACCUUUACUCCACCUCAGUCCCCCAAAUACAUCCUCAUGUGCACAGGAAGAGGUUCUAGUCCUCUGUAACAUAUCCCAAACAAAGCCAGCUGGACUCAGGCUUCUUUCUUAGGGCAAUAGAAGCAAGAGCUGCUAGAAGAAACAGGCCAGCAUGGAACAUCUGUUGGGACCUUUGUUAUCUCCAGGUAACUUCUGAUCUCAUAAAGAACACACUCAAAGGCUACCCACAUCACCAUUUGCUGCAAAAGAACAGAAAUCCUUUACAAUGCUCUGUAGCCACAUUAUUUGGUAGACCAAAGUAACAAGGCCCAGACACAUGUUAUUCCCAUGGUUUCAAAGCCUCUUUGGCCUUUAGCGGUUUUCCCUCAGCCUGCCCACAAUCCCACUCCUUAUUAGAACUUUCCUACUCCAUUUUUCCCCCCCUUUCUCUUUAAAAACAGCCUUGUAGCAUUCCAUAAAGGUUUCUUAUAAAUGAUAAAUACUGUAAUGUUGGGGACAGAAAAUGGGCUCAGACCUGAAUUGAAUCCCUAACUCCACUACUUGCUGUGUGACCUUGGUCAAGUUACUUUACCUCUGUAAGCUUCAUGAUCCUCUCCAUGCAGGGUUUGAGAUGAUGUAUAUAUUAAAGUACCUCAUACAUAGUAGUUGUUCAAAUGAUAGUUUCCUUUUCCUUUACCUUGAACCUAGUACUUAAAUAUUUGUUGAAGGAAUUAACUCCUGAGGAAGGAGCUUGGGAAAGAGCCGACAGGGAUUAUUGCACAGGACUUCUCAGCCUUGAAUGUUCAAAUGUAUACUUUGACUCUCAAAGAGGAGUGAAGGUGUAACAUUUUCCCAAUUUAUUUGACCACAGAAUCCUGACUUUGAGGAACACUUAGUACCUUCUUAAUGAACACAGUGUUCCAUAAAACAUGGGAACCCACCAGAAAUAGCCCUCAGGCCUGCCCAACUCUGAGACCUUUCACUGAUGGCCAGAGAAAGUGAGGACCUUGGGAAACAAAUCACACAGUCUGAUAUCUCCCCACAUACCCAGUGGAGCCCCUGACUUACCAGAAAUGGCAUCAGGCUCAGGUUUGCUCCCUGGCAGAUCCUCCACAGAUGUGCUGCUGCCCUCAGCACCAACACCGCAUCCCCGAGGCCCCAUGGCACUGGAGCGCCGCCGCUCGUGGAUCUCAUCUGAGAUCAUCUCCAGGUUCUUCAGGGCCAUCUUGUACUCGCCUUUUGCCAGGGUCAGUUUGGCCUGCAGGUCAUCCACAGUCUUUUUCAGUUGCUGAUCAAGAGAACAGGAGACUAAGUGAAGACUACCCUGCUAGCCUUAAGAUGCUUUCUGAAUGACAGGUUCAAGUACAUUUUCUGCCCAUCAUUCUACUUCAAGGAAUUUUCCAAGACAUGACUGAAGACCUAAUUACCAUUGUAACUGCUAUUCAUUCACCAGACAAAAUCAGCCACCACCAUCCCCAGAUCCCAUCCAGGUGACAACCUCUAAUAUCCAAAAACUCUCACUGGUGGAACAAACCCCAUCAGGGAAGCAAAAAUGGGCAUCAGACACACCAAAGUCCCACAGUCUAGACAUCUGGUUCCCAGUACAGUGGUUCUCAAAGUUGAGCUUGCAUCAAAAUCCCCUUGGGUGUUAAGACUCAGCUCACUAGACUCCAACCUCAGAGUUUCUAAUUCAGUCGGUCUAGAGUGGGACCUGGUCUAUCAGGUCUCCAGGUGAUGCUGAUGCUGCUGGUCCUAAGAGCAUGCUGUGAGAACCACUGGCCUAGUACAACAGAGAAGGUGACUGAAUGGCAGUUACAGAGGUUCAGAGACCACUGAAGACCCAACCGAGACAAUUUUGAGGUCUGAAAACUCAGUAAAGCCUGUCUCUCCACUUUCCCCUUAUAGCAAGUGGCCCAUGUGAUACUCUGCUACCCCAGAAAAGUGAAGCUUUGAGUGCAGAAAAAUCUCAUCAGUGACGAAGCCCAAAGCUACACAUACCUCGAGCUGCACAUAGUACUUUGCCUUGAGUUCAAAAUAAGGCCUGCAGAAGACAGGAAGGAAAGCCAUCAGAGUAAUAUAAUACAGUGACCACAGUCAACUCCACAAGAUGAACAAGAGGCAUCAGCUACCACUGGCCAGGUCGUCCUUCCAAUAUUUAGUAAACUCUUAACAAGGCCGUGACAUGUCAGUGAUGCUCCUAGCUCUGGAGACUGACAGACACCAGAUGGAACGACUGGGCUCACCCAGGGCUAUAUUAACAGGAGGCCCAUCUCAAGACACGGGGAACCCACACACACAUAUCUUGGGGACUCUGCAACUUAGCUCAUGUUCCUCCUCUGUGGGAAGGCUGUUCAGAGCCUCACAGGUUAUACCCAGCAGUAAGGGUGGCCUGGAUCUGCUCUCCUAAUGAAGUUGGCUCCCCAGGGAUGAAGAGCAGCUGAGGCUGGAGAAGGGGCUGCUUAAACCUCCUCCUCUACUGAAGUCAACUGGGGAAGAGAGAGAAGCACCACUCCUCCCUCACAGCACAGCAAGGCCACCACUAGGAGGGGGUCUCAGGUUGGUCCUCCCAAACCUUGUCCAAAGACUGGAGUUAUUAGUUGGCUGACUCAGCCACAUAAUGGGCCCAAGAAAUGCCAGCGUCCUAGCAGUUCCCUUGGUUCUGGGUCAGCUGAAAGAGCUUGGCUCUUUUUUAGGAACUUUGGUGCCUGAACAUUAAGAGUAGAUCACUGCUUUAUUCUUGAGCUGUUCACCCUCCAUGAAGCUCUCAAGUCCUGCAUCCUGAGGAUCCAGAUGGAUGACAAGGACACAGGACUGCCAUUGAGAAAUGAAGAUGAACUGUGUCACAGAUGCAGUGGAUUACUGACUGCCCUUGUAAUAGUCCAUUUUGCAUCUGUUGGUAAUUCAUUGAGGCACUCUUGGUUUUCUAUGAGUUUGUAUUUUUUGAAUUCAAGAAUUGUAACAUCACUGUUAGAUCCCUCCUUAUUUAAUGAGAGAAAUAAAAUAUUUGACACGAGAAAAUUUUAUAUUUGUAUCCCAAUUA